UACGUAGGGAGCAAGCGUUGUCCGGAAUCAUUGGGCGUAAAGCGCGCGUAGGUGGCUUCGUAAGUCCGUUGUGAAAGUCAAAGGCUCAACCUUUGAAAGCCGAUGGAUACUGCGGAGCUAGAGUACGGAAGAGGCGAGUGGAAUUCCUGGUGUAGCGGUGGAAUGCGCAGAUAUCAGGAGGAACACCGGUGGCGAAGGCGGGUCUCUGGGCCGAUGACUGACGCUGAGGAGCGAAAGCGUGGGGAGCGAACAGGGA
rnacentral:rRNA from 1 species